rnacentral:rRNA from 1 species
GACGAACGCUGGCGGCGUGCUUAACACAUGCAAGUCGAACGAUGAAGCUGGAGCUUGCUCCGGUGGAUUAGUGGCGAACGGGUGAGUAACACGUGAGAAAUCUGCCCUUGACCCUGGGAUAACUGCGGGAAACUGUAGCUAAUACCGGAUAUUUUCCUUGGUGGGCAUCCACUGGGGAAGAAAGAAUUUCGGUCAAGGAUGAUCUCGCGGCCUAUCAGCUAGUUGGUGAGGUAAUGGCUCACCAAGGCGACGACGGGUAGCCGGCCUGAGAGGGUGACCGGCCACACUGGGACUGAGACACGGCCCAGACUCCUACGGGAGGCAGCAGUGGGGAAUAUUGCACAAUGGGCGCAAGCCUGAUGCAGCAACGCCGCGUGAGGGAUGAAGGCCUUCGGGUUGUAAACCUCUUUUAGCAGGGAAGGAGCGAAAGUGGCGGUACCUGCAGAAAAAGCACCGGCUAACUACGUGCCAGCAGCCGCCGUAA